CCGCCAUUUUAGCCCCGGGGCGGCCCCGCCCGGGCAGCGGGGAGCGGCUGGAGUCAGGUUCGGGAAGCGCUGGGAAGACCGCGGGGACAGCGCCCUGCCCAGCCCCGGCAGCUCCGGCAACACCGCCCGGGGAGCUCCGGGACUCUGUGCGGACACCGCGCCGCCCCGCGCGGCUGCCGCUCGCUCCCCUGCAGCGUGCUCUUGCCCCCGUUCAGUCGCUAGAACUGAGCCCGCAAAAAUGUCCAUCAUAAUAAUGCACAGUAAUAAUUAUUAUUAUUAUUAUUAUUAAUAAUAAUAAUAGCACCACCUUCUGUGCAGUUAAAGACUCGGAUUUCCUUUCUUUAAGCACUACCAGACAGAUUAUUCGCCCUAAGUUGAUGCACGUGGUUUAAAGGGCAGUGGCGCGCAGGAGCCGCAGCUUAGCCCGAGCUCUUCACUCGUGUCAGGCGCUUCCAAACGCACUCGGUCCCAGCACAGCAAAGGCCGGGCACGGUGGGUGCUGGGUAUCAGCCGUGUCUCCCGACAGGUGCCACCACUUUGCCUCUCGGCUUCGCUUUCUGUCUGGUUACACCCAAAAAAUAAACCUGCCCCUCUCUUCUGAAGCAAAUCGCCUUAAAACGAACCCCUGGGCUAAUAAAGCACAUGAUGAAAUAGGGUUUUUUUCCAGGCACGGGAGCCCCGAAGAGCCCAAAGCAAGGCGGCUGUGUGUGCCUGUUGGGCUCCUCUGCUGGCCCAGGCUCUCCGAGCACACGGAGCAUUCCCUGGACGUGCAGGCGGUGCCAGCAUUCACCUCUCAGAGCUGAGCGCGCUGGGAUGCUCGCACGCUGCAGCACAGCCCCUCUCCACACAGACAAAUCCUCAUGUGCUGCCCUCGGACCCAGCCGGAUGUCUGUGUCCCCUAUUCCACUUCUGCAGGUACCCAGGGAGCAGUGUGCUUAUCACCAGUGCCAGCGAUGGCAUUCCAGUCUUCACACAAAACUUGGCAUAUACAGGGACAACAGGUCCCAGUGGGAGUGUGCCAACUGGGAGAUGUUGUGUCUGGGCCACUGACAGCCUAAAGGUGAGCAGUUUAAAGAUUAUUUUAUCUGGUGUUGUGCUGCUAACAGCUGCUGUUAGCUGGCAACCUCUUUCUCUUCAAUUACAAGGUCCAGAGUUAAAUGAGUUUCCCAUAAAAAAUGGACUUUGUAUAGCCAAAGACACGCCAAUAGCUGAUGCUGACAGCCCUUGUUAUCUUUUUAGGCUACAGUCUGCAGGCAGAGAGGACAUUUCUCAGGAAUUUAUUCACCCAGGAACUCUAAAUAAUAACAGCAAGAGAACAAGGUAUAGAAAGGGUUAUUUGGCAGCACUACGAUUUCCGCAAAAUAAAGAACAGCUUCUGGAUCCAAAAUCUAGGAAUUUCAGGGAAGAUCUGAAGGUACUCAGAAAUUAA
rnacentral:lncRNA from 1 species